rnacentral:rRNA from 1 species
CAAUAGCGUAUAUUAAAGUUGUUGCAGUUAAAAAGCUCGUAGUUGGAUUUCUGGUAGGAGUGACCGUUCCGAACUUGAUUGUUCGUGUAUUGUGUUUUCUCCAGCCAUCCUUGUGGAGAACUUUUCUUGCAUUAAUUUGUAGGGAUUGGGACCCGCAUCGUUUACUGUGAAAAAAUUAGAGUGUUUAAAGCAGGCAAUCGCUUGAAUACAUUAGCAUGGAAUAAUAAGAUGGGACUUUGGUACUAUUUUGUUGGUUUGCAUACCAAAUUAAUGAUCAACAGGAACAGUUUGAGGAUAUUCGUAUGAACAUGUCAGAGGUGAAAUUCUUGGAUUUUGUUCAGACGAACUACUGCGAAAGCAUUUAUCAAGGAUGUUUUCAUUAA